rnacentral:lncRNA from 1 species
UGUUUUAAAUUGAUUAAGUUAUCUAAAAACAACAUUUUAGGCAUUUUAAUUUAUUUAAAUAGUGUGUGCUUCUUGGUGUGUUUCUUUGAUUCGAUCCAGGCCAUUAAUUCGAAUUAAUCGGUGGCUAUUAUUAGCAAUCCACAUUUGUCUCAUUUAUCCAAUCAAAAAUUAGGAUUUAAUGAAUACUAUUAUUUUAGAAAAUCUGAAAAUAAAUAAAAUUAAAAAAAACUCUCUCUCUCUAGUACAUUGCCUCCAACGGAUAUAAAAAUAAUAAUAAAAAAAGGAACGGUGACAGGAGUCAUCACCAACGUCUCUUUGCUUAAAUUCACAUACAACACUCAUUCUCUCCAUGGAUUAAAAAAAAGAAAAAAGGAAAAGAGAAAAGUUGUACAGCUUUUCCUCCCCCACCUUCCUUCCUUCUUCGCCACCCACACCUCUUCGUCACUUCCCUCGCCGACAAAACCACCGACCAAACUCCAUCCAUUGCCGGUGAAAUCGUCCGCCGCCGCGACACACAUACCUCCGUCGCCGCCAACUCGCCGACUGUGCCGGUAUCACUCAUCCCCACCACCACGAACCUCU